rnacentral:rRNA from 1 species
UUGGAGGGCAAGUCUGGUGCCAGCAGCCGCGGUAAUUCCAGCUCCAAUAGCGUAUAUUAAAGUUGUUGCAGUUAAAAAGCUCGUAGUUGAAUUUCGGGAUCAAUGUUUCGGUCAUGCCGUUGGUAUGUACUGAUAUUAUUGAUUUCUCACCUUCUAAGGAACCGUAAUGCCAUUAAUUUGGUGUCACGGGGAAUUAGGACUGUUACCUUGAAAAAAUUAGAGUGUUUAAAGCAGGCUCACGCUUGAAUACAUUAGCAUGGAAUAAUGAAAUAGGACAUCCGAUUCUAUUUUGUUGGUUUCUAGGAUCGAUGUAAUGAUUAAUAGGGAUAGUUGGGGGCAUUAGUAUUCAAUUGCCAGAGGUGAAAUUCUUGGAUUUAUUGAAGACUAACUACUGCGAAAGCAUUUGCCAAGGAUGUUUUCAUUAAUCAAGAACGAAAGUUAGGGGAUCGAAGACGAUCAGAUACCGUCGUAGUCUUAACCAUAAACUAUGCCGACUAGGGAUCGGAUGAUGUUAAUUUUUUAAUGACUCAUUCGGCGCCUUACGGGAAACCAAAGUGUUUGGGUUC